UAUGCAGUGUUCCACUGGUUAGCACGUCCGCCUCACAGUGCAGAGGUGCAGGGUUAGAUUUCGGCUUCGGCCUUCCUGAGUGGAGUUUGCAUGUUCUCCCCAUGCCUGCGUGGAUUUUCUACGGGUACUCCAUCUUCCUCCCACACUCCAGAAACAUGUGUGGCAGGUUAAUGGAACAGUCGAAAUUGUCCCAAGGCUCGGAUGGUUGUUUGUCAAUUGAAUGGCUAAAUUUUCAGGGUGUCCCCCGCCUACUGCCUGAAGACAGCUGGGUUGGGUUCCGGCACUCCCGCGACCCUCGAGAGGAUAAGCGGAUUGGAAAAUGGUUGAAUGGACUUUAAAGAACAGGAUUGCGGGAAUGGGCACAAGUCUUACAACUUUUCUCUCUGUGCACAAUAUGACAAAAUCUUUAAAUCAUGCCAUGUAAACAAGACAGAAUUUUACGUAAAUAAAAAUAGGUAAAAA